CCUACGGGAGGCAGCAGUAGGGAAUCUUCCACAAUGGACGAAAGUCUGAUGGAGCAACGCCGCGUGAGUGACGAAGGGUUUCGGCUCGUAAAGCUCUGUUGGUAGUGAAGAAAGAUAGAGGUAGUAACUUGCCUUUAUUUGACGGUAAUUACUUAGAAAGUCACGGCUAACUACGUUCCAGCAGCCGCGGUAAGACGUAGGUGGCAAGCGUUGUACGGAUUUAUUGGGCGUAAAGCGAGGGGAGGCGGUUCGAUAAGUCUGAUGUGAAAGACUUCGGCUCAACCGGAGAAUUGCAUCAGAGACUGUUGAACUUGAGUGCAGAUGAGGAGGGUGGAACUCCAUGUGUAGCGGUGGAAUGCGUAGAUAUAAGGAAGAACCCCAGUUGCGAAGGCGGCUCUCUGGUCUGCAACUGACGCUGAGGCUCGAAAGCAUGGGUAGCGAACAGGAUUAGAUACCCCGGUAGUC
rnacentral:rRNA from 1 species